GGCUCGGUAGUCUAAUGGUAUGACGCUCUGGUCCGUAUCUCGCACGGGGUCUUCUAGACCUGUUCCAGUUGUCGAUCGCAGAGAAUUCGCGGGUUCGAAUCCUGCCCGGGUCC